rnacentral:rRNA from 1 species
CUACGGGCCGCUCCAGUGAGGAAUAUUGCACAAUGGGGGGAACCCUGAUGCAGCAACGCCGCGUGGAGGAUGACGCAUUUUGGUGUGUAAACCCCUUUUAUAUGUCAAGAAAAUGACGGUAGCAUAUGAAUAAGCACCGGCUAACUCCGUGCCAGCAGCCGCGGUAAUACGGAGGGUGCAAGCGUUACUCGGAAUCACUGGGCGUAAAGGACGCGUAGGCGGGUUGGAAAGUCAGGUGUGAAAUCCUACAGCUUAACUGUAGAACUGCACUUGAAACUUCUAAUCUAGAGUAUGGGAGGGGGAGAUGGAAUUAGUGGUGUAGGGGUAAAAUCCGUAGAUAUCACUAGGAAUACCUAAAGCGAAGGCGAUCUCCUGGAACAUUACUGACGCUAAGGCGUGAAAGCGUGGGGAGCAAACAGGAUUAGAUACCCCCGUAGUC